UGGAAUGCAUGUUGAUUUUGGAGCUAGAUAAGUAAUAACAAUGGUGAUUGAGAAUGUGAGGAAUGGUGGAUUAUAUGUGGAUCACACGCUAAAACCGAAAGGAAGUGUAUAAGUAAAUAAAGUGUGCUGUGGUGGCGUGCUAGAGGAGGCAACGAGUAACCGCCGAGUAGAACUAGCUAGAUACACACCCGAAUUGAUAGCGAUGUGGUGUACCACUAUUGUAAGGUGACACGACAUGCGAGUCCAACCCAGUCAACCAUCGAACUAGCAAAUAGACAUGGGGUUCCAGUGCUCACA